GUCAAAAUCCACUGGUGGCGUUUGGGGUGUUCCCGUGGACGCGGCCUCCCGGCAGGCGGACCUCCACCGGGUGGGCGCGGCAGGCGGGCUGUGCGGGCAGGAAGAGCGACGAGCUUGAGAGUGGGAGAUGGGGUGCAACGGCGGGCCUCUCCGGGGAGGUGACACUGCCGCUGAGACCCGAAUGGAAGGGCGCGCCCGGCGGGGGAACAGCAGGCGCCGAGAUGGAGUCUCACUGUAGUCCAGAUGGAGUGCAAUGGCGUGAUCUCGGCUCACU
rnacentral:lncRNA from 1 species